GUGCAGUUGCACAAGAGGCUCUACCUAGUUGGCUAGUCAGGCUUGUGCAAUUGCACAAGAGGCUCUACCUAGUUGGCUUCUCACUGGACUAAGCAAUUGGUUUUCAUUUUUUGUGUUAUUGGAGGAGUGAAUUUUGUGGAUGUAUAUGACCUAUGGAGCUUGGUGAGAAAUGCGGUGGUUAUACAGGGUUUGCGAUGUGAGGGCUCUUAGGGUUAGUUGCUGUAGGAGUUUGCAAAUUUGUUUCUUUUUUUUAGCCAUUUUUGUGCAACCGGGCAACCCCCUUUGUGCAACUUGUUAGAUAGAACUUACCAACAUUAUGAUAAAAAUAGCCAACUUAAUUUUUGUUCUGAUGGAGUAUUGUGUUUUGGGUGGCACUUAUUUUUUGUUCAACUAGGCAGCAAAUCAUGUGCAACUUUUCUUUUAAUUCAACUAGCCAACUUCAUAUAUAAAAGUAGCCAACCCACCACAUUUUCUCUCCCCUGUGCAACUUCUGUUAAUUUGACUAAUACGUUGUUCGCAUUUUUUUGUUGCAGAGACCAAAAUGGCUGGAGAAGGAGAUGUGGCUGACAAUGAAACAGAGGGUUCUGCAAAUCCCAUCUCACGACGGAACUCAAAAAGGGCUGCUAAGCGGUAGCCGCGUGGCGAUGAUAAGGACGGGGAUGGAGAGGGUGACGAUGGUGGCGAAAGAUUCCUCUUAGUAAAACUGCAGAGAAGAAAGGUGCGCACGGAGGCAGUAUCCAAAGGGGUAAAUGCCACAUCUUCUGCAGCAGUCGCUGAGGUAACAUAAAAUUCCAUCAGCAAUAUUUUUUACUCCACAUACAGGCAGCCAAGUGUAUUAAUUUUCAUACAUAGUUGCAGCAGGACUAAUUAAGCAUUGGCAUGCUCAACUUUCUCAGUUGCUUAACGUUGCCUCUUCAAGUUUUUUAGAAUUGUCGCAAGAGUAUGUAACGACUUGGCAUCCUCAGGCUUUCUAGUUGCAGAAUAGCAUCUAAUUAGUUGGCAACCUCAGUAAUUCUAGUUGCACAACAAUAUACAACUAGUUGACAUCCUCAGCUUCUCUAGUUGCACAAAAACUCAUAUUAGUCCCAUCUUAAAAAAAUUAAGGAUUUCCCUACAGUAUGUAACGACUUGGCACCCUCAGGCUUUCUAGUUGUAGAAGAGUGUCUAUUUAGUUGGCACCCUCGGCAAUUCUAGUUGGAUAACAUUAUCCAAGUAGUUGACAUCCUCAGCCUCUUUAGUUGCACAAGAAUUCAGAUUAAUCCCAUCUUAAAAAAUUUGAGGAUUGCCCAACGGUAUCUAAUCACUUGGCACCCUCGGGCUUUCUAGUUGGACAACAUUAUCCAAGUAGUUGACAUCCUCAGCCUCUCUAGUUGCACAAGAAUUCAGAUUAAUCCCAUCUUAAAAUUUUUGAGGAUUGCCCAACGGUAUCUAAUCACUUGGCACCCUCAGGCUUUCUAGUUGCAGAAGAGUAUCUAUUUAGUUGGCACCCUCGGCAAUUCUAGUUGGACAACAUUAUCCAAGUAGUUGACAUCCUCAGCCUCUCUAGUUGCACAAGAAUAUCUCAUUAGUUGGCAUCAUCAACAUUUCUAGUAACACAA